rnacentral:rRNA from 1 species
AUUGAACGCUGGCGGCAGGCCUAACACAUGCAAGUCGAGCGGAUGAAGGGAGCUUGCUCCUGGAUUCAGCGGCGGACGGGUGAGUAAUGCCUAGGAAUCUGCCUGGUAGUGGGGGAUAACGUCCGGAAACGGGCGCUAAUACCGCAUACGUCCUGAGGGAGAAAGUGGGGGAUCUUCGGACCUCACGCUAUCAGAUGAGCCUAGGUCGGACUAGCUAGUUGGUGGGGCAAAGGCCUACCAAGGCGACGAUCCGUAACUGGUCUGAGAGGAUGAUCAGUCACACUGGAACUGAGACACGGUCCAGACUCCUACGGGAGGCAGCAGUGGGGAAUAUUGGACAAUGGGCGAAAGCCUGAUCCAGCCAUGCCGCGUGUGUGAAGAAGGUCUUCGGAUUGUAAAGCACUUUAAGUUGGGAGGAAGGGCAGUAAGUUAAUACCUUGCUGUUUUGACGUUACCAACAGAAUAAGCACCGGCUAACUUCGUG